UUUAGGCCUGUUGCUAUCGUCAGAAUAAGGAUGUUUGUUGCAAAGGUCAAAUUGUUGGGCGUUACGGAAACAAAUGUCUGUGCUGCAGUGCCACAGAGGAAAAGAUAGAACAGAGAGCAGACAGGGAAGACAUACACCCACAGACACACAUGCAGGCAACCGAGCUGGUAAAUGUGAUUCAGCUCAUCUGCGAUUGGCCGAAGGUGUGGUGGAUCCGUGCCAUAGUCAGAGAGAGAAAAUGGGAAGACCCAUGCAUCACAUUCCAAAUAUCAGAAGUCUUCAUCGUUCCAGCUUCCAACUGAUUGCCGUGCUUUGUAAAAACUCUACACUUUUCCAAGCACUGUCCUGUGAGCCAACAUGUUGAGGUGUGUUGAGCAGAUCCAUCAGAGAGCAUCACGCAGUGAACAAGAGCAUUCGACAGAUGCAGUCAAUCUCAUGGAAUGAUUCAUCAGUACAGAAAGUACAACGAGCCUCUGAAGAGGUGGAGGUGAUGCAGGCAUACCUCGGUGUUCACUUGAACAACAAACUGGACUUGCUGAUGAAACAGUGAAGCUGUCGGUACUUUUUGAAGAAGCUAAGGCAGAAGAAAAAUACAGCCCCUUCCAGCAAGUGCUGGAUCUGUCCUGGGGCCUCCUCCCAGUGGGAAUGAAAAAGCUCCAAAGAGAGGCCUCCUGAUCUACAUCUAACUCCUUUUAAUGCAGGGGAGCAGAUGCUCUACUCCUGCUCGCUAAUGCUGAGUCCA